UAUGUACUCCCUCCGUUCGGAAUUACUUGUCGCGAAAAUGGAUGUAUCUAGAACUAAAAUACGUCUAGAUACAUCAAUUUCUGCGACAAGUAAUUCCGAACGGAGGGAGUAGAAC
rnacentral:pre_miRNA from 1 species